UACGAAGGGGGCUAGCGUUGCUCGGAAUUACUGGGCGUAAAGGGCGCGUAGGCGGCACUGUUAGUCAGGCGUGAAAUUCCUGGGCUCAACCUGGGGACUGCGCUUGAUACGGCAGAGCUAGAGGAUGGAAGAGGCUCGCGGAAUUCCCAGUGUAGAGGUGAAAAUUCGUAGAUAUUGGGAAGAACACCGGUGGCGAAGGCGGCGAGCUGGUCCAUUACUGACGCUGAGGCGCGACAGCGUGGGGAGCAAACAGG
rnacentral:rRNA from 1 species